rnacentral:sRNA from 1 species
GUGGCUCCGCACCGCGUUGUGGGCGAUGG